CCUACGGGAGGCAGCAGUGAGGAAUAUUGGUCAAUGGGCUUACGCCUGAACCAGCCAAGUCGCGUGAGGGAAGACUGCCCUAUGGGUUGUAAACCUCUUUUGUCAGGGAGCAACGCCGGCUACGUGUAGCCGGACUGAGAGUACCUGAAGAAAAAGCAUCGGCUAACUCCGUGCCAGCAGCCGCGGUAAUACGGAGGAUGCGAGCGUUAUCCGGAUUUAUUGGGUUUAAAGGGUGCGUAGGCGGAAUGCCAAGUCAGCGGUAAAAUCGCGGGGCUCAACCUCGCUCCGCCGUUGAAACUGGCGUGCUUGAGUGGGCGAGAAGUAUGCGGAAUGCGUGGUGUAGCGGUGAAAUGCAUAGAUAUCGCGCAGAACUCCGAUUGCGAAGGCAGCAUACCGGCGCCCAACUGACGCUGAAGCACGAAAGCGUGGGUAUCGAACAGGAUUAGAUACCCUAGUAGUC
rnacentral:rRNA from 1 species